GACACAUGAUCCUAUCGCCAAACCGAACACCUGAUCAACGGCUACUGGGGACAAAGCUGGUUGAGAAGGAAAGCCACCUCUCUGUUCCUCUCGUUCUCUUUUCCCUGCAACAAUCUCCUCUCAAUUCAGAAAAUUUUAAGGGAUAGGAAUUUCUUCAUGGUCGAUUGAUGGAAAAGUUUAGGGAUUCUAAAAUGGCUUCUGAAUUUAAAAGAAGCGAACAGAGGAAGAGCAUGGAUUUCGAAUGGAGAUAGCACCAGUUCUAGUUGAUUAGAUCGAAAAAGCGACUGAUUUAGCUCCUUUAAGGGUUUGAUCGAAGAUCUAAUUGCAGACAUUGGGUUUCCUUGAUUACUGUUAUUUCUUUCGGAGAUCUGAGAUUGCUGUUGUCGUUGGGAGCUACCGAUUCAACGUUCUUCAAUUCUUUUUUUUCCGGCAGUUAUGGUGAUGGUGAUGGUGGAAGGAGAUAAGUAUCUCUCUAAUGGAGAUGGAAUCCAUACAGUUUCCUGGAGAUAUUUGAGUGGGGAUGGAAAAGGGAAGAAGGAUUGCGAACUGCGGAUGAUGGAAUCGUUCAGGAGAUAGUGAAAUAUAAGAAUCUAGUUUAGAAACGACGUUAAUGGAGGUUUCCGACAAGUAGGACGUGUCAAAAGGCUAUUGGAUAAUGUGGCAAAGUUGCUGCAUAAGCUAACGCAGCAGAUCCGGACUGGUAUUACUGUAACCGCAGAGGUCAGGUCGUGUCACAAGGCUAUUGGAUAAUGUGGCAAAGUUGCUGCAUAAGCUAACGCAGCAGAUCCGGACUGGUAUUACUGUAACCGCAGAGUGAACAGAACUAGUGCAAGAGUUACCAUUACAAUGCUACUUUUAGGCUGUACAUGUUGGAGUAGUGAGAAUGUUACUUAUUCACUACUAAACUUACUUACUGGUGAAUGUGGAAAGGGAAGUUCUUUUAUUUGUAAUGCCUGAUCUUGGCAUGAUUUUUAGGGUUUAGGGAUUUCUUGAUAGCUUAACAAGACAUUUAUUUGUGCCAUUGGCUUAUAGGGUCACAGUCUCGUUUUGUUGGGGAAACUUGAAACCAUCUGAUUCUCUUCGUCCAUGCUCCUUUUUUUAUUUGCUGCAGAAUAGAGUUUUUCAUGCAUCAUCCAAUACCAGUCACCUCGCAGCUAAGACUUCUUCAACAUCACUUAUUUUCUUUUCAAUACAACUUUCCAGAUUUAUGAACACGGACUACCAGAGGGAUGCAAAGGCAUGAAAAUGAACUUGCUGUGAAGACCAAUUUCUGUAAUUAUGUCAGACACUUGGAGGAUGACAGGACUGCAUAGUAAUCAAUCAGCAUUGGAAGAGGGCCACAGAAGAAACUUUCAUAGUGAUUAGCAAUGAGAGAUUGAGACCUACAUUUGGAGGAACCAGCUUUUUCUACGACACAGGUGCAUUGUGGGAUGCAAUUGCCAAGCUGUGUGUGUUUAAGUUGGAGCGAACCAAAUCUUGAAAACUUUAUUAAGGUAAAAGGCUGGGUACACUGACUACAUAUUGCAAGCUAGAAUUAGUUGUGUCUAUCUCACUCUUCCCCCCUAUGAAAUGACCCCUACCCCUCCUUUAUGAUGCCCCAUCCUAUGCCCCCAUUGGUGCUGUCAGCUAGUUUGAUGCAUGCGGGCACUGUGCCCAUACCUCUCCCAAACUUAUAUAAUGGAAUACAAAACUUAUGCGAAAUAAAAGGUUACCGGUCCUAAUCCUCAAAUGGGGUACCUCGCUUUUCGCUUUGUUUGGAAGCCAAGAAAAGAAAACACAAAAAAAAGAUCAUUGUGUAAUUAUGACUUUUUUUUCUUAUGUUUUUUAUACAAUUUUCUUUUCUUGGCUUUCAAACAUAGCCAUAUAUGUACUUGUUUUUUUCUUCGUUGAAAUGUUUUUACAUAGACAAAGUAUGAUUUAUGCUAAACAUGGUGGUUUUAUCCUCGAAGUAUGCGUAAACGCAUAAAGUUGUUUAUUUUUAACUGAAUUUCUUAAUCUCUUAUAGUUAAUGAGAUGUGUAAAACUUUCUGAACAGCCAUUGAUAAGGCAGAUCAAAUAUUUAUCAAAUGGUUGAUGGAAUGGGCCAAAAUUUUGUUGACAGUA